AUGCAUGGUGAACUGUCGCUAACUUCAGAAGAUGGUAAGGUUGCAUAUGGCUGGAGCAACCUUCUCUUCAAAUUUUCGGAAUUAUUUACCCUUUUUCUCUGUAGGUUCUAUAUUCAAAUUCUCUUAAUUAUUCUUCACCCAUUUUUUUCCUCUGCAGUUUCCAUCCUUUUGAAAGCUCCUUUUGUUCUGUAUGAGCCUAACCUGAAAAUAUAUACGGUUAUAUAUUGUCAGUAUUUUCCUUUUUCCAUACCUCAUGGUUAUUCGCUUCUGUUAGCUAGAUGCAUGUGCUUCAGUUAUAGGAAUUGCAUGCCUUCUACGAUUAUGUCGUUGUUAUUGGCUUGCGAAACAUGCAUAAGACUGUACCUAUGGAUAAAAAUUACCCUACAAACUCCAACAUUGAAAAUACAGACUGGCUGGCAUGAAAGUUUGAGAAAUGCAGCAAGUGAAUGA
rnacentral:rRNA from 1 species